CACGUCAGCGCGACCUGCUGACGUGGAAGGAAAUCUCUUCCUUGAGGACGCGAUUUCCUUCCACGUCAGCAGGUUGCGCUGACGUGG
rfam:Gossypium raimondii Chr13_contig_485, whole genome shotgun sequence.